AUGUCUAGUCUUGUAUCACAGAAAGAGGAUUGCAAACACCACUUCAGGUUUAAAGCCAAGGAAAUUUAUGCCAAACUUAUCAAGAAAUUUGGGUAUGAGACAAUCUUUGGCCUCUCACCACCAAGUAUUCACAAGGUGUUGGUAAACAAAGAAGACCCAGGAGAGAGCGAAGAAGAAGAAGAAGGAAAAAGAGGAGGAGUCGGAAGAAGAAAGUGAUCAGGAGCACUUCAAGUCCCAGCCAGAGAGCAUGGAUGAGCUUCUGAGGGACACCGACUCUGAGGAAGAAGGAGAGACGAAGGGGGCACGCAAACCAAGGGACAGAACUCAGGCUAAACUGGCCUGGCUACAAGAAGGAGGGGACAUCAUGGACUUCCUGGACCCCAG